rnacentral:rRNA from 1 species
UACGAAGGGGGCUAGUGUUGCUCGGAAUCACUGGGCGUAAAGCGCACGUAGGCGGCUUGUUAAGUCAGGGGUGAAAUCCUGGAGCUCAACUCCAGAACUGCCUUUGAUACUGGCGAGCUUGAGUUCGGGAGAGGUGAGUGGAACUGCGAGUGUAGAGGUGAAAUUCGUAGAUAUUCGCAAGAACACCAGUGGCGAAGGCGGCUCACUGGCCCGAUACUGACGCUGAGGUGCGAAAGCGUGGGGAGCAAACAGG